UUACGGCCAUAUCACGUUGAAACACCUGUUCUCGUACGAUACCCGAAGUUAAGCAACGUCGAGUCUCGUCAGUAUGUAGGUGGGUGAACGCUUGGAAAUAUUGGUGCUGUAA